rnacentral:rRNA from 1 species
AGUGAACGCUGGCGGUAGGCCUGACACAUGCAAGUCGAACGGCAGCACAGUAAGAGCUUGCUCUUACGGGUGGCGAGUGGCGGACGGGUGAGGAAUACAUCGGAAUCUACUUUUUCGUGGGGGUUAACGUAGGGAAACUUACGCUAAUACCGCAUACGACCUACGGGUGAAAGCAGGGGAUCUUCGGACCUUGCGCGAUUGAAUGAGCCGAUGUCGGAUUAGCUAGUUGGCGGGGUAAAGGCCCACCAAGGCGACGAUCCGUAGCUGGUCUGAGAGGAUGAUCAGCCACACUGGAACUGAGACACCGUCCAGACUCCUACGGGAGGCCGCAGUGGGGAAUAUUGGACAAUGGGCGCAAGCCUGAUCCAGCCAUACCGCGUGGGUGAAGAAGGCCUUCGGGUUGUAAAGCCCUUUUGUUGGGAGAGAAAAGCAGCAGGUUAAUACGCCGCUGUUCUGACGGUACCCAAAGAAUAAGCACCGGCUAACUUCGUG